rnacentral:lncRNA from 1 species
UUUAAAAAAAGAAUGGCUCAUAAAUUUGAAUGCUUGAUCACUGGAGAGUGGCAUUAUUUGAAAGGAUUAUGAGAAAGACUCAAGAAAUUACUGCAGGAUUUAUUCUGGUGAGAAGAAGGAAGAUACCUCCAGGAAGAUGUGUGAUCCAGAAACAGAAAUCUAGAAUAGGAGCAAGAUGAAAGAGAACUCUGGGGACUGUUCUGCUGGAGAUCUAAUAACACAGAAACAUCCUGUAGCCAUUUGACCCAUAGACGACUGAUCAAAUCAAAGAAGCCAGUGAUUCAUGAAGAGUGGGCUCUGGCUGCUAUUUCUUGUUGGCAUUUUACCAGGGUGGAAAAUGGAAAGCCAAGAAAGAAGCACCUUGACAAUGAAAAUAUCCUUUUAAUGACAACUUUUAUCAAUUAGGUGUGGCGGC